ACGUGAGUUUGAGUGAACUCCGGGAGUUGGUGAUGGACAGGGAGGCCUGGCGUGCUGCGAUUCAUGGGGCCGCAAAGAGUCGGACACGACUGAGCGAUUGAACUGAACUGAUCAAUGUAAUGCUUUUCUUUGUUGCUUGGGGCUUAUCUAUGUGUGUUUGGUUUUGUUUUUUAACCUAGUUAGAGAAACAUCUCAGGUUCUCCCUUGCUAAUCUGGUGUGCUGAGCAGGAGCCUGUUCUUGGAAAAGUACAGACUUUGGGUUUAAACAGAUCUGAAUUUGAAUCCUGACACCUCCACUUUCUACCUGUAUUACCCGGGACAUCUAAGUUAAUCCUUUAUUCAUUGAUUCAUGUAUUUGUGUAUUCAUUCUGAUUCAGAACAUUUCUGGAAUACCCUCACAAUGAUGGGGUUACAAACAUAAAUGAAUGUGACACCUGCCCAGGAUAACUUGCCCUUGGUCUACCACAGUAGCCUACAAACUUUGCUGACCACUUAUACCAUCAGUAAAACAUUCUUGAGCAGAAAACUUUCAUAUGUGUACAUUUUAAUAUAUUGUGUAUGUGACUUCAUUGUUAUGCACAUAAAAAAGAUAUUUGAUUUUUAAAUGUAUUAUAUCACAUACCACCUGGGUACAUAUACCCAUUUUAGGAGCUGCUGGCCUAGUGGUAAACUUAUCUAAACUUUGCUUUUCUCAUCAUUAAAAUUGUGAUGAUGAACUCUGUUUCAUGGUGUUGUUGCUCAUUCAUUCACUUACUUAAUUUCUCUGAACAUUCUCCAGUGCUAGAUUCUGUCUGAGGGGUCGGAGCUUUAAGUGUCAGCUGUGUUUUUUUACUGUCUAAGGAGAAACUUCCAUUGGGUGGGGGAUACUAUUAUACUUACUUAUGUUUUAAUUGAUAUUCAAUAUAGUUGGCCUUCUGUAUCUGCAGGUUCCGUAUCUGUGUGUUCAAUCAACAGCAGAUUGAAGAUAUUAAAAAAAAAAAUUCACAGAAAGUUUCAAAAAGCAAAACUUGAAUUUUCUAUGUGUUAGCAACUAUUUACAUAGCAUUUACAUUGUAAUAAGUAUUAUAAACAUGGGGUAAAAUUAUUUUAAGGCCAGAUAAGAAAAACUAAAUAUAUAAUUCUCUCUCUGCCAGUUUGAUCCAUUGCCUUGCUCCCCUUUAGCAUGCAUUGUGAGUCUUCGUUAUACAUUGACUAGAUCCUGUUAGAAGACAUGGGAAUGCCUACUCAGCCAAAAAAAGCAAUUUCCUCUUGGCACCAGCAAGCUCAACUUCCAGGGUGCCACCCAUAAGCAACUGAGCAUGCAUGGUAGGUAAAUACUGUUGAAGAACUGGAUCGCUUCCACUGGCAAUUGGUCAGAGACAUCCAUUGUAGGCACUUCUUACAUUGUUAUAAACAUUUGCUGAUAAUAGAUGUUUAGUAGUGUCUGUCCACAAAGGAAGGUUUUAUAGUUCGUUAUAUUAGAGUCAAUACGUCUAACUUCGUUUAUAUCCAAAGCCCUAACUGCACAAAUGUGUUGGCAAUGGAACCCAUAAAUAACACUCAUGGCCAUCUUGAAAAUCUAUAUAAAGAAAAAUUUCCUGAUGGAACACUCCUCUCCAAUCCAAUAAUUAAAAAAAUUUUAUUUAGAAAAUUAACCAAAUUCUCUUCCAUUUGCAGAUUAAAAUCACGAGUAAGAAUCAAAACUUUCCAAACAAAUUAUGAUCCUAGGAGACUUCUGAUUUUAAGAUGGCAGAGUAUAGAGACUGCUGUCCCAUUGUCAUCUGAAAAAAUACAAGAAAUGCAAACUCAGUCUUUGAUGCAACUAGAGGACAUCUGAGGCCUUAAAUCAUACA